rnacentral:lncRNA from 1 species
ACACCUGAGAAGUGGUAGUUCCUAUCCUAACCUACUGGGGCCCUUUAUACCAGGUGCCAAACUUCAUUAUCCACCCCACCACCUUGCCCGGGAGGGAGAUCUGUGAAAGCGAAACGUGAUUUAAGCUGGGAUCUGGCAGCAACUUCGUGGACUCUGAAGGGCACGUGGGAAAGGAGUUUUGAUUGAAGGUGAGGGAUUUAGUGAGGUAAAAUUAUAUCCAAAUUAGAGUUUGGUAAAGGCUUCCAGGUUAAUGUCCUGUUAACGCUUAUCCUGAUUUGUGGAGGACACUUAAGCUGUCUAGGCCUAACCUUGUGUUUGAUCACUCACCUUAAUUUGUAGACAUUCUAGGAGCUCUUUGUCAAUGCCUCUUACCAUUUUUAUCAUUAACUAUUUAUGCUUAUAGAAGCAGGAAAAAUAAAUUGUGGGAGCCUUCAUCUGCAAUAGGUUUACAACUUUUUUUCUAAAAUCUUGAGGCAAGGAGACUUAUUCCCCCGCCCCUUUUUUUCUCACAGAUUUCUUGUAUGUCUCCCUCGCCCCGCCCGCACCCCGUCCCCCCGCCCCCGGACAAUUAAUUGUAGGAGGAAACAAGAACUAAGAUGUCUAUUCGAGUGAUUUUUUAUAUCUUUCUUAAGGAGAAAAAGACUGACAUUUGACACUGUGCUCUUGUUUUGUCUUGCUGAUAAUAACUGACAGCAAUGUUUACUUUUCUUACAAAUGAAACUAUCAGGGUACGUACUUUUAAGCUCUUUAAUACAAUGGGUUUCAUCCUUCCAGUGGGAGAGUAUGAAUUGCCCACUCUGCGUAGACACAUGACUGCUGGCCUGUUGGACACAUGGUCACACUUGCUAUACUCUAAAUAGUGUCUUUGUGACCUGAAACAGUCAACACUUUUCUUAAAGCUACAGUGUGCCCACACUCAUUGUAUUUUUGCUUUGUAUGGAAUUUCAAAUUUACUUAUUACCUUCUCUAUGAAUAAUAGCAUAACUUAUGCAUUCCAUUUAUGCCUUUCAGGGAACCUGAUGGUUAAUUUCUACCUCUUAAAGUAACACAUUAUGUUGUAAGAUUUUGCUCUUAAUAUAGCAGUCCCCCUUAUCCUUGGUUUCACUUUCCAAGAUUUUGUCAACCAUGGCCCAAAAAUGUUACAUCACUACUCUUGCAUUUGGGGGGUAUUAUUACAUAAAAUGAUAGUUAUAUGAACACAAGCACUGUCACACUGCAACAGUCUGACAACCCAGACAGCAACUGGCUAAUGGCAAUCUGGGCAGGGACAGAGCAGACUGUGCUCCUCAGAAUGGUGCACAAUUUAAAACUUAUGAAUCGUUUAUUUCUGGAAUUUGCUAUUUAUGUCACAAUACUUAUGUCAUUCACCUCACUUCAUCUCAUCAUGUAGGUAUUUUAUCAUCUCACAUCACAAGAAGGAGAAGGGUGAGUUCAGUACACUAAGAUGCUUUGAGAGGGAGACCAUACAUAACUUUUAUUACAGUACACUCUUAAAAUUGUUUUAUUUUAUUAUUAUUAUUUUUUGAGACAGAGCUUCUUGUCUCCCAACCAGGACUAUAAUGGCACAAUCUCAGUUCACUGCAACCUCCGCCUCCAGGUUUCAAGUGAUUCUUCUGCCUCAGCCUCCCGAGUAGCUGGGAUUACAGGUGCCCGCCACCACGCCUGGCUAAUUUUUGUAUUUUUAGUAGAGGUAGGGUUUUGCUGUGUUGGCCAGGCUGGUCUCGAACUCCUGACCCCAGGUGAUCUGCCCACCUCGGCCUCCCAAAGUGCUGGGAUUACAGGCAUGAGCCAUGGCGCCCAGCCUGUUCUAUUUUAUUAUUAUUGUUGUUAAUAUCUUACUGUGCCUAAUUUAUAAGUGAAACUUUAUCAUAGGUAUGUAUGUAUAGGAAAAAACAUAGUGCAUUUAGAGUUCAAUACUAAGGUUUCAGGCAUCCACUGAGUGUCUUGGAACACAUCCACCAGGCAUAAGGGGGUGGGGGUGACUACUAUACUUAGGUAAGAUUUAUUUGGAGAGUGCUUAAUAAAAAUUAUGAAUUUCUUG